rnacentral:snRNA from 1 species
UCACUCUGGCUUCUCUUCAACGUAUGAUUCUUUCGCCUUUUACUAAAGAAUUCCGUGGAGAGGAGCAGUUCAAUGAGUCUUGAACAUUUUUCGAUAUCCCGACUUAUGGUCGGUUU